GAUGAAGAACGCAGCGAAAUGCGAUAAGUAAUGUGAAUUGCAGAAUUCAGUGAAUCAUCGAAUCUUUGAACGCACCUUGCACCCUUUGGCAUUCCGAAGGGUAUGCUCGUUUGAGUGUCAUUGUACUCUCACACUUCCGAUCUUUGGAUUGGGAGCGGUGGACUUGGGUGUUGCUGCUUACUGUGGCUCACCUCAAAUCGAUUCGUGCACCUCUUGGUUGGACAUAGUACGGCGUGAUAAGUGUCUUCGCCGGCACCUCAGUAGAGGGUGGCUGAUCGGGAGCUCUGCUUCAAACCGUCCUCGGACAACAACUGACAACUUGACCUCAAAUCGAGUAGGACUACCCGCUGAACUUAAGCAUAUCAAUAAGCGGGGA
rnacentral:misc_RNA from 1 species